UGGAGCAUACAGGGUCUGUGAUGCCCUUAGAUGUUCUGGGCCGCACGCGCGCUACACUGAUGCGUUCAACGAGUAUACAACCUUGAUCGAUAGGUCUGGGUAAUCUUGUGAAUGCGCAUCGUGCUAGGGAUAGACUGUUGCAAUUUUCAGUCUUGAACGAGGAAUUCCUAGUAAACGCAAGUCAUCAGCUUGCAUUGAUUACGUCCCUGCCCUUUGUACACACCGCCCGUCGCACCUACCGAUUGAAUGACUCGGUGAAAAAUUGGGACCGUGAGUCCGCUUGCUUCAUUGCGAGUGGAUUGAUGGGAACUUUUUUAAACCUCGCCAUUUAGAGGAAGGUGAAGUCGUAACAAGGUUUCCGUAGGUGAACCUGCGGAAGGAUCAUUACCACACCUAAAAAAACUUUUCACGUGAACCGAAUCACCCCUUUUAUUUGGGGGCCUGGCUUUUUUGCGACCCCUAUCAGGGCAAAUGUUUGGACUUCGGUCUGGGCUAGUAGCUUUUUGUUUUAAACCCAUUCUACAAUACUGAUUAUACUGUGGGGACGAAAGUCUCUGCUUUUAACUAGAUAGCAACUUUCAGCAGUGGAUGUCUAGGCUCGCACAUCGAUGAAGAACGCUGCGAACUGCGAUACGUAAUGCGAAUUGCAGGAUUCAGUGAGUCAUCGAAAUUUUGAACGCAUAUUGCACUUCCGGGUUAGUCCUGGGAGUAUGCCUGUAUCAGUGUCCGUACAUCAAACUUGGCUUUCUUCCUUCCGUGUAGUCGGUGGAGGAUGUGCCAGAUGUGAAGUGUCUUGCGGGUGUCCUUCGGGUCGUCUGCGAGUCCUUUGAAAUGUACUGAACUGUACUUCUCUUUGCUCGAAAAGCGUGGUGUUGCUGGUUGUGGAGGCUGCCUGCGUGGCCAGUCGGCGACCGGUUUGUCUGCUGCGGCGUUUAAUGGAGGAGUGUUCGAUUCGCGGUAUGGUUGGCUUCGGCUGAACAGGCGCUUAUUGUAUGCUUUUCCUGCUGUGGCGUGAUGGGCUGGUGAACCGUAGCUGUGUGUGGCUUGGCUUUUGAAUCGGCUUUGCUGUUGCGAAGUAGAGUGACGGCUUCGGCUGUCGAGGGUCGAUCCAUUUGGGAACUUUGUGUGCACCCUCCGGUGCGCAUCUCAAUUGGACCCUGAAUCCGGCAAGU
rnacentral:rRNA from 1 species